UGCCCAGCCUAGGUAAGAAAAUGCUUUCAUAAACAUCAGAAGACAUGUAUCUAUUAAGCACAUGGGAAUAACAAAAUGUCGGAAACUCGUGUCCCAAGUCUCGUUGACACCUAGAGGUCUCUCAAGCGUAAUUAAGGUCAUUUGUUAAGAAUUGAUGGAUGGGAAUUGCAGACUGGGUGCUAUAAUGAUAGGAAACAUCAAAACGUCCGACUGGAAAUGUCUUUCCCCAGUCAGGGGCUGCCUGUUGUGGCACUGGUCUCCUUGACACCUAGGGGGUCUGAAAAUCUUAAAAAUAAUUCCCCACCCCUUGAAGUAAAUGGUUUAGUCCGCCACCAUUGGCCAGCUUGUGACGGCCCGCCUGUGUUGGCCCAUGGUGGCUGGUACCAGGCGUAGUCCUUUCCCACAUGAAACACGCUGCAAAAUUUUGUUCAACAAUUUGUCUAUAACUCCUCAAACUGGACUACAGAAUCACGCCAUCUAGCGACUUCUGUAUAAAGUCCAACCCCUGUGUUUACGAACUCCAGUUUACGAACGAAUUGCUUUAAGUUGAUGGCGCUUAUUCGUUACCAAAUAGGGUCAUUUCAGACACUGGGGCCGUCGCUGAGUUUUCUGUCAUUUUUUAUGACAUUUCAACACGUUUCAGAGCGUUUUUAAUCGGCCGUAUAUUCUGCUGAUAACCAGAUGUUUACUUGCUACAUGUUAUAGAUAGGAAUUGGAAACAACAUGUUGUAAACACACAUGAAGGUAACUUUGCUUUUGAUCUUUGACCCUUAUUAAUAAAGCAGAUUGUCACCUGAUUACCCCAAUUAUUGUCACAAUUCACAAUUCUUCGUUCAGCAAAUCACAUAAACGUUAAUAGCGAUAUGGAUACGAGUGGAAGAGUAGAUGGCAAGGGCAAGGGCAACCAGGAGAGGGACUCAAGAGGCGGACUGUACCAAUUUACGUGUGUGGGGAGAAGUAUUACUGAAAUCACUACUGCCUUCUGUCAAAAACAUUUUGGCCAGUCGUGGCCCCAAUGCGCAUAUGCAAGUUUUCUUAAAUUACCUCGCUUGCCGUACACCCUUUGACUGGACCAUCCUGACAAUUAUUAGCCCAAGGCGACAAGGACACGAAGGCAAGAGCUGCUGAGUUGUGGUAGGAGGUGCACUAAGGUGAUGGGAAGAGUUGUGGGGGGAGGUGCACUGAGGUGAGGGAUAGAGUUAAAGGAAGGUGCACUAAGGUGAGUGGUAGAGAUACAGGGAGGUGCACUAAGGUGAGGGGUAGAGUUGUGGUGGGAGGUGCACUAAGGUGAGGGGUAAAGUUACAGGGAGGUGCACUAAGGUGAGGGGUAGAGUUGUGGUAGGAGGUACACUAAGGUGAGGGUUAGAGUUUUGGUGGGAGGUGCACUAAGGUGAGGGGUAGAGUUGUGGUAGGAGGUGCACUAAGGUGAGGGGUAGAGUUGUGGUGGGAGGUGCACUAAGGUGAGGGGUAGAGUUAAAGGGAGGUGCACUAAGGUGAGGGGUAGAGUUAAAGGGAGGUGCACUAAGGUGAGGGGUAGAGUUACAGGGAGGUGCACUAAGGUGAGGGGUAGAGUUACAGGGAGGUGCACUAAGGUGAGGGGUAGAGUUGUGGUGGGAGGUGCACUAAGCUGAGGGGUAGAGUUGUGGUGGGAGGUGCACUAAGCUGAGGGGUAGAGUUGUGGAGGGAGGUGCACUAAGGUGAGGGGUAGAGUUGUGGUGCGAGGUGCACUAAGGUCAGGGGCAGAGUUGCAGGGAGGUGCACUAAGGUGAGGGGUAGAGUUGUGGUGGGAGGUGCACUAAGCUGAGGGGAAGAG